rnacentral:rRNA from 1 species
GAUGAACGCUGGCGGCGUGCCUAAUACAUGCAAGUCGAGCGAACGGACGAGAAGCUUGCUUCUCUGAUGUUAGCGGCGGACGGGUGAGUAACACGUGGAUAACCUACCUAUAAGACUGGGAUAACUUCGGGAAACCGGAGCUAAUACCGGAUAAUAUUUUGAACCGCAUGGUUCAAAAGUGAAAGACGGUCUUGCUGUCACUUAUAGGUGGAUCCGCGCUGCAUUAGCUAGUUGGUAAGGUAACGGCUUACCAAGGCAACGAUGCAUAGCCGACCUGAGAGGGUGAUCGGCCACACUGGAACUGAGACACGGUCCAGACUCCUACGGGAGGCAGCAGUAGGGAAUCUUCCGCAAUGGGCGAAAGCCUGACGGAGCAACGCCGAGUGAGUGAUGAAGGUCUUCGGAUCGUAAAACUCUGUUAUUAGGGAAGAACAUAUGUGUAAGUAACUGUGCACAUCUUGACGGUACCUAACCAGAAAGCCACGGCUAACUACGUG